rnacentral:rRNA from 1 species
CCAACAGGGAUUCCCUUAGUAAGUGCGACUGAAACGGGAUGAGCCCAGCGCAUAACCUCGUAUUUUUUCUUCCCUUAACAGGGUGCGAGGGGUGUUGCGUUCCAGAGGGUCCGGCACGUCGCCCUCCACCAUCUAAGUCAUGCUUGAAAGCAGCCAUUACCCAGGGAGGGUGAUAGGCCCGUGUGAUGGGAGUGCCCGCGAGGGUUAAAGGUUGGGGCGGUCGGAAAGGGCCUCUCUGUAGAGUCGGGUUGCUUGAUACUGCAGCCCAAAGCAGGUGGUAAACUCCAUCUAAGGCUAAAUAUGACCACGAGA